AACGCACAUUGCGCCUCCUGGUAUUCCGGGAGGCAUGCCUGUUCGAGCGUCAUUAACAACCACUCAAGCUCUUUUGCUUGGUCAUGGUAGAUGAGUGUGCUUUGUGCACUCACCUCCGAAUUACAUUGGCGGAAAGCCCCAUGUGCCCCGGCGUAGUAAGUUUUCUUUCGCUUGGACUGUGAGGUGAUCCUGCCACAAACCCCCAAUUUUUCUAGGUUGACCUCGGAUCAGGUAGGGAUACCCGCUGAACUUAA
rnacentral:misc_RNA from 2 species